rnacentral:lncRNA from 1 species
AUGUGUUGGACGGCAAGGGUUGCUACACAUGGGAGGAGAUCCUGGCGGGAAAGGAUCGGCUCCCAUGGGAACAGGUGGAGGCAGCUAGGAGAGCAGAGGCAGCCGGAGAGAGGAGGGAACACGGCUGGCAAGGAAGCCCGAGAGUCAGCCCCAAAAAUGUAUUGGGCAGAGGCACACAGGGAGUAUGAUGAAGCCAGGUAGGAGACCUGCGCCAACUUCCUGUGCUUACCGGAGGGCGAGAGAGACCGGGCAGGCACCGUGUUAUGCUGUGGAGCGCACGGUGUCCCCAGUGCGGGUGCAUAGCCCGGUGCGGUACAUACCAGCUCCUCAUAUCGGCCGGGCUAGAGUGGGCAUCAAGCUAGGUGUCAUGAAGCCGGCUCUACGCAUCUGGUCUCCAGUGCGUCUCCUUGGGCCGGCGUACAUGGCACCAGCCUUACGCAUGGUGUCCCCGGUUCGCCUGCACAGCCCAGUGCGGGCUAUUCCACCUCGCCGCACUGGCAGGGCGACCGGGAGCAUUCAACCGGGUAAGGUUGGGCAGGCUCAGUACUCAAGAGCUCCAGUGCGCCUGCACGGUCCGGUCUAUCCAGUACCACCUCCAUGCACCAGCCCUCCGGUGGCAGCUCCCCGCACUCGCCCUGAGGUGCGUGUCCUCGGCCUAGUACCACCAGUGCCGGCACCACGCACCAGGCCUACAGUGCGCCUCACCUGUCCAGCGCUGCCAGAGCCUUCCUCCUCUCCAGCGAAGCCGGAGUCUCCCACCUGUCCGGCGCUGCCUGAGCUGCCCGUCUGUCCAAAGCUGCUAGAGUCUCCCGCAUGUCCAGAGCUGCUAGAGUCUCCCACCUGUCCAGAGCUGCUAGAGUCUCCCGCCUGUCCAGAGCUGCUAGAUUCUCCCGCCUGUCAUGAGCCGCCAGAGUCGCCAGUCAGCAUGGAGCCGCCAGAGUCGCCAGUCAGCAUGGAGCCGCCAGAGUCGCCACUCAGCAUGGAGCCGCCAGAGUCGCCAGUCAGCAUGGAGCCGCCAGAGUCGCCAGUCAGCAUGGAGCCGCCAGAGUCGCCAGUCAGCAUGGAGCCGCCAGAGUCGCCAGUCAGCAUGGAGCCGCCAGAGUCGCCAGUCAGCAUGGAGCCGCCAGAGUCGCCAGUCAGCAUGGAGCCGCCAGAGUCGCCAGUUAGCAUGGAGCCGCCAGAGCCGCCAGUCAGCAUGGAGCCGCCAGAGUCGCCAGUCAGCAUGGAGCCGCCAGAGUCGCCAGUCAGCCAGGUUCUUCCAGAGUCGCCAGUCAGCCAGGAUCUGCCAGAGUCGCCAGUCAGCCAGGAUCUGCCAGAGCCGCCAGUCAGCCAGGAUCUGCCAGAGCCGCCAGUCAGCCAGGAUCUGCCAGAGCCGCCAGUCAGCCAGGAUCUGCCAGAGCCGCCAUUCAGCCAGUAUUCGCCAGAGCCGUCAACCUGCCUGAGCUACCUCUUAGUCCUAAAUGAGGCACCCCUCAGUCCAGG